rnacentral:rRNA from 1 species
GUACACUCCUUCGGGAGGCAGCAGUGGGGAAUAUUGCACAAUGGGCGCAAGCCUGAUGCAGCCAUGCCGCGUGUGUGAAGAAGGCCUUCGGGUUGUAAAGCACUUUCAGCGGGGAGGACGGCGAUACGGUUAAUAACCGUGUUGAUUGACGUUACCCGCAGAAGAAGCACCGGCUAACUCCGUGCCAGCAGCCGCGGUAAUACGGAGGGUGCAAGCGUUAAUCGGAAUUACUGGGCGUAAAGCGCACGCAGGCGGUCUGUCAAGUCGGAUGUGAAAUCCCCGGGCUCAACCUGGGAACUGCAUUCGAAACUGGCAGGCUUGAGUCUUGUAGAGGGGGGUAGAAUUCCAGGUGUAGCGGUGAAAUGCGUAGAGAUCUGGAGGAAUACCGGUGGCGAAGGCGGCCCCCUGGACAAAGACUGACGCUCAGGUGCGAAAGCGUGGGGAGCAAACAGGAUUAGAAACCCUUGUAGUCCCA